CCCGCUGUAGCCCAGUUGAUAGUGGCGUCGGCAGUGCAGAUGCAAAAUGUCGCAGGUACGAAUCCUGCCAGCGGUG